rnacentral:misc_RNA from 1 species
UACGUAGGUGGCAAGCGUGUUCCGGAACUAUUCGGUGUAAAGUGCGCGCAGGUGGUUCUUUAAGUCUGAUGUGAAAGCCCACGGCUCAACCGUGGAGGGUCAUUGUAAACUGGGGAACUUGAGUGCAGAAGAGGAAAGUGGAAUUCCAAGUGUAGCGGUGAAAUGCGUAGAUAUUUGGAGGAACACCAGUGGCGAAGGCGACUUUCUGGUCUGUAACUGACACUGAGGCGCGAAAGCGUGGGGAGCGAACAGG